GGGCGAUUAGCUCAAUGGUAGAGCGCCUGCCUUACAAGCAGGAUGUUACUGGUUCGAGCCCAGUAUUGCCCA
rnacentral:tRNA from 2 species